AGUGAACGCUGGCGGCAGGCCUAAUACAUGCAAGUCGAACGGCAGCACAGCAGAGCUUGCUCUGUGGGUGGCGAGUGGCGGACGGGUGAGGAAUACGUGGGAAUCUGCCCAGUCGUGGGGGAUAACGUAGGGAAACUUACGCUAAUACCGCAUGCGCCCUUCGGGGGAAAGCCGGGGGACCUUCGGGCCUGGCGCGAUUGGAUGAGCCCACGUCGGAUUAGCUAGUUGGCGGGUAAAGGCCCACCAAGGCGACGAUCCGUAGCUGGUCUGAGAGGAUGAUCAGCCACACUGGAACUGAGACACGGUCCAGACUCCUACGGGAGGCAGCAGUAGGGAAUAUUGGACAAUGGGCGCAAGCCUGAUCCAGCCAUGCCGCGUGAGUGAAGAAGGCCCUCGGGUUGUAAAGCUCUUUUGUCCGGAAAGAAAGCGCCGGGUUAAUACCCUGGUGUCCUGACGGUACCGGAGAAUAAGCACCGGCUAACUUCGUGCCAGCAGCCGCGGUAAU
rnacentral:rRNA from 1 species